AGAAAGCUGGACCACUAAAUGCUGAAAGAAUUCAAGAAAUGUGGAGCUUGAAGAAACAUCUCCAACCUUCCAGGCUCCUUGAGGGCUGGAGUAGGAAGGGCCUGUGUCAGAGGCUAGAGGAAUUGAAUCUUCCAGAAGCUAGAGUGACAGGCAUCUGAGAGCCACCUCAGUUCUCUGGAGACAAGAGAUUAACAAGGGAAGGGA